GCCCUUGUAGUAUAAGCUAAUACACCGGUCUUGUAAGCCGAAAAUGAAGCCCUCCUUCCAAGGACA
rfam:Nomascus siki mitochondrial DNA, complete genome.